rnacentral:piRNA from 2 species
UGGCAGCACACCCUCUGCUCUUUCACCUGC